rnacentral:rRNA from 1 species
AGAUGGGGGAUAACGGGUCGAAAGACUCGCUAAUACCGCAUAUGACGAAAGUUGAAAGGAGUAAUCCGUCUAAAGAUGAGCCCGCGUCCGAUUAGCUAGUUGGUAGAGUAAAAGCCUACCAAGGCGACGAUCGGUAGCUGGUCUGAGAGGAUGAUCAGCCACAAUGGGACUGAGACACGGCCCAUACUCCUACGGGAGGCAGCAGUGGGGAAUUUUACGCAAUGGGCGAAAGCCUGACGUAGCGACACCGCGUGAGCGAAGAAGCCCCUUGGGGUGUAAAGCUCUGUCAGCUGGAACGAAAAAAAUGACGGUACCAGCAGAGGAAGCAUCGGCUAACUACGUG